CCUACGGGGGGCAGCAGUGGGGAAUAUUGGACAAUGGGGGGAACCCUGAUCCAGCCAUGCCGCGUGUGUGAAGAAGGCCCUCGGGUUGUAAAGCACUUUCAGUGAGGAAGAACGCCUGGUGGUUAAUACCCAUCAGGAAAGACAUCACUCACAGAAGAAGCACCGGCUAACUCCGUGCCAGCAGCCGCGGUAAUACGGAGGGUGCGAGCGUUAAUCGGAAUUACUGGGCGUAAAGCGCGCGUAGGUGGCUUGAUAAGCCGGUUGUGAAAGCCCCGGGCUCAACCUGGGAACGGCAUCCGGAACUGUCAAGCUAGAGGGCAGGAGAGGAAGGUAGAAUUCCCGGUGUAGCGGUGAAAUGCGUAGAGAUCGGGAGGAAUACCAGUGGCGAAGGCGGCCUUCUGGACUGACACUGACACUGAGGUGCGAAAGCGUGGGUAGCAAACAGGAUUAGAUACCCGAGUAGUC
rnacentral:rRNA from 1 species